GUGGGUGUAGCUCAGCUGGCAGAGCACUGGAUUGUGGUUCCAGGGGUCGUGGGUUCAAGCCCCAUCUCCCACCCCA
rnacentral:tRNA from 1 species